rnacentral:tRNA from 1 species
GGGCAACUAGCUCAGUGGUAGAGCACCUGCUAUCAAAGCAGGGGGUCUCCAGUUCGAUUCUGGAGUUGCUCA